UGCUCGUCAAAGAUAAACUUUCCCACAGUUUUUUAUUUUCAGGUUUUAUAAGACUUUUCGAUUGCAUUUUUUUCCUUUAAACUUUUCAUAAGUUUUAUAAAAAUGAAGUUUGUUUUGUUAUUUGUGUUAAUUAUUGGAAUUUUAAAUGUGAAUGGUGAUAGAAGCUCAAACGAAUGCUUGGACGAAGGAAAAGAGUGUAGAAAAAAUGGGGGAACAAACGAAGAAUGCGAUGUUGGCGUUCAAAUUUGCUUGAAUGCAUCUGAAAUGGAGAUGGUUUCUUUGAAGAAUUAGCUACCAUGAAAAACCGUUAAUCGUAUAUUUUUAUUCAAAUUCACUACAGCAAAUGAUAAACUGUAUCUUAAUUUUUUUUUUAUCUGCUAUUUUGUUUUUUUGCUGAAUGAUUUCAUUUUUCCAUUACACUGCAAAACACUUUUCCUGGGUUUUUAAUUUUUCACUUUUCAAAUUAUCGUUUGUUAAGCAUAAAAUUUAAAAAUUUUUUUUAAUAAUGUCAAGUCGGUUUUUAUAUUAGUUUUGAGUAUUGUAGCAUUUUGUAGCAUUAGUUAUUAAAAACUGUUUGUACUAAACAUUUUUAA